rnacentral:lncRNA from 1 species
GAUUAGAUCAAACACUAAUAGGGUCAAGUGUCAUGAAACCAAUGGAGGGUGGACUUUGACUACUAUUCUCCAACUUUACUAAAUAUCAAAUUUGACUCAAAAAUCAUCUUCAUUCGCUCCAUCUUGGCCGAACCUCUUAAGGAAAGAAAAGAGAGAAAACUCCAACUUUUAUCUUCCAUUUCUUGCUUAUAUCUUGAAAUCCAACCGAUUAAAUCUUGAAUUUGUCCACAAAAGUGACUUGCUAAGGGAGUUUCAAGGUAUUGGUGGAGUUGUUUUGGAGGAGGAACCCCUAAGUUACUACCUUUCUUGAGGUGUCAAGGUAUUUUGCUUGGAAACUCACUUUUGUUCCUAAUAAUGGUAAAUUAGUAGUUUGUAGUGGCUAAAUAUGCUAUUUUAUGGAAGAUUUUGUGAUUUGAGGUAGAGUUAGUUAAAUUUCAGAUUUUAUUGGUGAUUUUUCUGAUUUUAUAUGAUAGUUAUUGGUUGGCCAUGAAUGAUGGCUUGAUAUGGUGUAAAAUGAAGUUUUUAUAUGUUAGUUGUGGUUGUUUGCGGAAAAUUUCAGUUUUGUGCGGAAAUUUCAGUAUUAGGGUUUCAAUUUGCCCUGUUCUGACCGGCUUUAUUCGUGCAUGUUAGAGGCCGAAUCAGGGUUAGGUUAAAACAUGAAAGUUU